UUUUUUUUCGGUGCACUUAGAAAUGUGGGUUUGCGUGCAAGCAAGUUACUUCCUGGGCAAAAAAGUCGAAGGUCAACGGGGAAAAAAGCGACAGGCAAAGUGUUUCUGGGUGCCUCUGCGCACGAAUACUCUCGCGAAUGAGAGAGUUCAACACUUUUUCACGAGGCUCGUCGUCCUCCCGACGAAAUCUUGUCGCCGCCGGAUCACUCGAGCCUCGCCGUCCUCUCUCGGAGCAGGGGAAAAAUUCGUUCUCUCGUUGCAACGAGUCGGCAGGACUGUUCUUUAUUGGAAUUCUCUUAGGUUGGACGAGAGUGGUGUCCACACGCAUUUACGUACAUGCUCAGCGACAAUUCGACGAUGGAUCAGCCUUGAAAAAAAAUUUUUGGAAGUAGAAGAAAAAUCGUAAAGGAGAAGAGACUGAAAUAAGCGAAGUGACGAAUAAAUUGUUGAGAUACCGAUGCAACUCACUGGACGAAUAACUUUCAAAGGGACGAUGUAAAAAUGUGCUCAAGUACGUGUGCUCGCGGAGCAUUGAAAAAGCGACUAUUGAAAAAAAAUAUAUACAUAAAUAAA